UCUAGAGCCACAGCAUUCCUAGCUGGCUCUCCCCUUGAACACUGAGCAGAAGGCUGGGGCUGAGGGAGGCAGAGUAGAGGGGAAGGCAGCCUGGAGGAGAGGCAGGGACAGGGAGAGCCGAGGCCGGGUUAGGAGCUCCGAGGCUGGGGGUUAGGAGGAUGGCGGGCCAGGGGAAAAGUGUAGAGGUGGGAGGGCGACGUGGGCACAGGAACGCGGUUAAGGUGGGAGAAAAGUGAAAUACAAGGAGGCCGCGAUUUUAGUGCCAUAGCUGUGACAGGAACGAGAGCUAGAGACGAGGGACAAGGAGGAGGAGGAGAAGGCCAGGUAGGGAAGAUUAAGUUAUGGGGAAAAUAACUAGGAGUCAACUGAGACUAGGCUGGCUAGGGGUUGAAAUAUAAAUGCAUAUAAAUUAUGUACGAGUGAGGAAGAGAAGACUAUUUAAGGUAUGAGUGCUAGACUAUUUUGGAGGUGAGACAGGUAGCAAGGCAACAAGAGACCAACACAUGGGCAGAAAAGGAGACAGGAAUUUAGUAUUCCAGCUUUAGGAGUGGGGAGUCUUUUUUUGCUUUUUCUGCCAUGGAUGUAGUGCUGGUUUGGACAGCGGCCGGCGUCCAAUCAGACAACAGGACCGUAGGCCUUGUCAUAACGACAACCAUGACAUCACUGCCAGGGCUAGCGGAAAGAAGACAGCGGAGCUCCAGACAGACAGCGGGGCUUCACGGGGCUGCACGCCGGACAAAGCGAGCCGGCUGCCGGAUAGAAACCGCGCGGACUACCGGGGAUGGGGGAACACGCUGAGGGUGCCGGUUGGACGUUUCUCGGCCGGCGUUGGGAGCUCUGUCCCGGACAAGUUGAGGCUUCCUCGGGGAAGCGAGAUGAAGAUAUGGAGGAGGUUGAGCGAUAUGGCAUCUUGUUUAAUUUCUGCCAAUCAAGACGAGAGGAAGACGACUCCCAAACUGGCAUGACGUAACGGGAGAGUGAAGACACAAUUAAGAGACCAGAAAAUACAUAAACCGGAUGAAAAAUGGGAACUGAGGAGCAGCGGCUGCUGUAAUCUCCGCUGUUCAAUUAGCAGGCUGACCGGGACGCCACCUACACUUCAUUAACAGGGAGGGGAAGGUGAAACAUCAAGCCAGUAGGAGUACAAGAGAUGGGGAGGAAAUGAGAGCAGGCUGUCAGUAGUGUGAGCCAUUUCCAGUUGAAGCAAACUGAAUUAAACUGAACUGAUCUGAACUGGAAUGACCUGAACUGAACUGAACUGAAACGAAAGCUUCCUCUGGACAGGACACACGGCUCUCUGAGGUUUUGG